UGAGGAAUAUUGCACAAUGGGCGAAAGCCUGAUGCAGCAACGCCGCGUGAGUGAUGAAGGCCUUCGGGUUGUAAAGCUCUGUCUUCUGGGACGAUAAUGACGGUACCAGAGGAGGAAGCCACGGCUAACUACGUGCCAGCAGCCGCGGUAAUACGUAGGUGGCAAGCGUUGUCCGGAUUUACUGGGCGUAAAGGAUGCGUAGGCGGAUACUUAAGUCAGAUGUGAAAAUCCCGGGCUUAACUUGGGAACUGCAUUUGAAACUGGGUAUCUAGAGUGCGGGAGAGGAAAGUGGAAUUCCUAGUGUAGCGGUGAAAUGCGUAGAGAUUAGGAAGAACACCAGUGGCGAAGGCGACUUUCUGGACCGUAACUGACGCUGAGGCAUGAAAGCGUGGGGAGCAAACA
rnacentral:rRNA from 1 species